GAUGAACGCUGGCGGCGUGCCUAAUACAUGCAAGUCGAGCGAACAGAUGAGGAGCUUGCUCCUCUGACGUUAGCGGCGGACGGGUGAGUAACACGUAGAUAACCUACCUAUAAGACUGGGAUAACUUCGGGAAACCGGAGCUAAUACCGGAUAAUAUAUUGAACCGCAUGGUUCAAUAGUGAAAGACGGUUUUGCUGUCACUUAUAGAUGGAUCUGCGCCGUAUUAGCUAGUUGGUAAGGUAACGGCUUACCAAGGCAACGAUGCGUAGCCGACCUGAGAGGGUGAUCGGCCACACUGGAACUGAGACACGGUCCAGACUCCUACGGGAGGCAGCAGUAGGGAAUCUUCCGCAAUGGGCGAAAGCCUGACGGAGCAACGCCGCGUGAGUGAUGAAGGUCUUCGGAUCGUAAAACUCUGUUAUUAGGGAAGAACAAACGUGUAAGUAACUGUGCACGUCUUGACGGUACCUAAUCAGAAAGCCACGGCUAACUACGUG
rnacentral:rRNA from 1 species